UACGCUUCUUAUUUCCCCUGCUUUACAAAAAAACACUCCCAGCCUCUGUCUCUCAAAACUCACGCACAUCACCACCACCAGUCUCACCGCCCCAUCCCACCAGCUACAACGAAGUAUGUUUCAUCCCCAUGAAGAGUUGGCUUGUGUGGAUAUUCUCCACUGUGAUACCAUUAUGCAGGAAAAUGAUUUAAAGUGGAGUAAUGAGUAGCUUAGUGCAAUGUUGGAUUGAUUGGAACAUGAGUUGCAGGAAACGAAUUCUUUCUUUAUUUGUGUUGGAGUACAAACUGAAAAGAGUUACUUGAAAUGUACUCUCACACAAAUGGCUUCAAGUUAACAUGGAACAAUUCAAGGAGAAGCGGAAGAUCUUCUCCUUAUGCACUAGCUCAACGACAUCAUCUUUUCAGGGAGUUCUCCUAACUUUUGCUUUAAUUAUAUAGUUACAUUGAGGACAAUGCAACAUUUUUAGUUGGGGGGAGAUACUUCAUUUUCAUAGAUAUUCUUGUGAUGAGGUGUGAUAGGUCAUGAUGAAUGAUAAUUUGGUAGAUUGACUUUAUUUUUUAUUUUUUUAUAUUAUUAUAAUCUUUUUUAUUUUUUUUAUUUUUUUAUUUUAACGACUAGCUUCUUUAGUUUUUGUUAGGAGUAAAAAUGGUGUUGGGAUGUGGUUUUUUGCCCUUUGGCUAAUUUUUGGCUUGCUUGGUACCAACACAUUUAAACCUUGGCAUAUGAAUUCU